CUUCAUGGGAAGUGUUUGAAUUCAGGCCUCAGACAUCUGGUUUUCAGUCUCUGAUUGAGAAUCAAAAAGAGCUGCUAAUGGGAUGCUGUGUGAGUCUGAGAGUGGAGGGUUUUCUUUGGAAGUUUACCCAUUUCUCAGGAGCAGGACCAUGGCAGAUCUUUGAAGAUGCAAUGGUCAGCAUGAAGGUACACCAUCUACCCCAUUUUCAUUGACUGACAACUUCCUUUAGAGACUUCCUCCUUCCUCUAAGAAAAAUCAUAGUCCCCUUGGAAAGUGCCUAGGAGGAGCCCUUCUUCUUUAUCCUGAAGAAAAUCUGGCCCAGGCAAAGGGGUGAAUAUCUGGGGAACCUGCUUUCUCUUGUUCAUGCCUAACUCUAUACUCUCAGAACACCCCCACCUCCGUGUGAAAGUGCCCCUGUGCCCUGGGGCAUCCACCACUGUCGGUACGAUCCUCAGCUCUCCCUUGGCCACUUUACUGCCUGCUCACUCUCCUUUAUUCUUUGAAGACAUCAGCAUGUCUUCUUUCACCAUUGUCUUCUCCACUUCCAAGUCCUGUUUUCAUCCUAGAUGCCCUUAUCAUGACUCAGUUAUUCGUUCAACAAAUAUCUAGUGGCCACUGUUACCAAGAGUGGGUCCAGUUGCUUGCUGCUCUAAAGCCAAAUAAAGAGGCAAGGUUGGUGGAAAGGAUAGUUUGCUUUAUUUUGGUUGCCAGCAAUUGGGGGUGGGGAGGACAGACUCCUGCCCAAAGGCUGACUCCCCCCUGCCCCCAAUCAGCAGGCAAGAGCUUUUAUAGGUGGACGGAGGGGGCUACAUAUAGAAACAGCACAGUCAGCUCUGACAGUUGUCUUGAAAUUGGUCCUGUGGUGGUCUGACCACCAUCAUCUUGAUUGUUUUAAGUACAGUUAAUCUUCAGCUCCAGGGUCGGUUUGUAACCAUUUCCUUGAGGCCAAUUCUCUGAAUUGUGACAGCUUAUGUGAUGGCUACAGUCUGGUCCUCGUGUAGUUAACCUCUUCCACCUGGUGGAGAUUUCAGUAUCUAUAAGACAGCUCACAGGACAUGGCUUAGAAUAUUAUCUAUAGCCCUUGAGGAGGAACUAAAGGUCCUUUUUUUAACAUUUUUUUAAGAUUUAUUUAUUAUUUUUAAAUUUAUUUUUGGCUUGUGUUGGGUCUUAGUUGCAGUGCACAGGCUCUUCCUUGCUGCACGUGGGCUUCUGUCUAGUUGUGGCGCGCAGGCUCCAAGGCACGUGGGCUCUGUAGUUUGUGGCACACAGGCUCUCUAGUUGAGGCAAGUGAGCUCAGUAGUUGUGGCGCGUGGGCUUAUUUGCCCUGUGGCAUGUGGGAUUUUAGUUCCCUGACAGAUAUCGAACCCGCUUCCCCUGCAUUGUAAGGCGGAUUCUUUACCGUUAGACCACCAGGGAAGUCCCAAACUAAAGGUCCUUGAUUUUGCUUAAUGACUAAACUAUUAUUGUUUUGUCCUAUUUGAUUGUUUUCCUUUGCUUCUGUAUUUUUCUCACUUCUCUGAUUAACCUUAUCCUUUGGCUAAAAUUUUUCUAGAGACAAAAGGCAGGCUGAGGACAUGGUGGGGAAGGACCAUAGGGUCUUGCUCCAUUUCACUACUGUGUGCCCAAACUUUGUGCCAGGUGCUAAUUAUACAAUAAUGAAUAGAACCAGAUAUGGUUCUUGCCCUCAUGGAACUUAAAGUCUUGUUGGGGCAGCCAACCCAAAUCAUAUAAUCACCCAAAUUAAAUGAUAGAACUGCAGCUGCAAUGGGUGCUAAGAAGAAAUAUGGAGGUUGAUAAUAAUUGGGCAUUUGACCUUGUCAGGGAGGUCAGGGAAGCCUUACCUGGGAUCAUGAUGCUUGACAGAGGUAGGAGUGUUGAAUAGGAAUUAACGUGGCAGAAAGGGGAGGGAAACAUGCUCCAGGCAGAGGAGACAGCAUGUGCAAAGGCCAUGUGGUUAGAGGGGAAAGUGGCCAGUGUGAGGAACUGAUAAAGACUGAAAUGUAUGGAACACAGAGAAAAGGGAGUGUGGUUCAGAGAAGAGGCUAGAAAGCGGGUAGAGACCAGAUCAGGACAGGCCAAUUAAACCAUAUUAAGGUUUGGUCUUUCUGUUGAGAAUCACUGAAGCAGCAGAGAGACAUGGCACGAUUGUGAUGUGAUGAGCCUCUGUGACCCCAGGAUAGGUUGGUUGAGGGUGCAUGUGGAUUCAGGGAAACUGUCUAGGAGGCUGGACCAUAGUUUCAUUGAGAGACUAAAGUUAAAUCAAUAAGAUGUAAUGACAGAUCGGAUAUAGGGAUUUAAAAAGAAGGAUGUAUCAGAUGACUCUGAGGUUCUAGGCUUGCAUCUGGGCAGAUGGUACCAUUUACUGAAAGAAGAAAUUUCAGAAGAGGACUUGGGCUGGAAGAGCAAAAUCAUGAGUCUGGAUGUGGACAGCUGAGUUAGAGAUGCCUUGGAGAACAGUGGAGAGAAGGUACACAAGGAGGCUGUUGGAUUUAUGGGUGGGGAUUCAGAGGAGGGAUCUGGGCUGGGAACAUACAUAUGAGAUCAUUUGUGUAUGGAUGGUUGUUGAAGACAUGGAAUAAGGAGAGAGGAUGAAGAAGGAAGAAAGCAAGACCUCAGACUGAUCUUUGAGAGACACAAGCAUGACAGAAAGUGAGGAGGAGAGACCAAAAAAUGAGAGGAGAACAACAUUUAUGCUGCCAAGAGGACAAGUGAGAUGAAGACAGAAGCAUCUCUGCUGGAUUUAGCACCAGGGGGUCAUGGGGACCCUCAGUAAGGGCUAAGCCAGCAGAGUGAAGCAUUGCAAGCCAGAUGGCCUUCUACUGAGGAGUGUAGGGGGAGGACAUGAACACAUGAAUAAAUACAGAUACUUGAAGAUAAACAUUCUUCUUGAGAAGUUUAACUCUGAAGGAGAAGAAGAAAAAAAUACUGGAAAAAAAGCUGGAAGAGACGAGGCACAUGGCAUGUGUUUAAUAAAUGCCCUUUUAUAAUGUUUGCUUUUUACAUGUUUAUGGACAUAUAUUUUCAUUAUGUUUGAAAUAUUUUCUAAUUUCCCUUAUUAUCUCUUUGAACCAUGGAUUAUUUAGAAGUGUGUUGUUUAAUUUUCAUAUAUUUGUGCAUUUUUUAAAGCAUAUCUUAUUUUUGAUUUCUAAUUUAAUUCCUCUAUAAAACUUCUGGAAGAAGGAGGAAAAUCUUCAUGAUCUUGGGUGAGGCAAAGAUGUCUUAUAUUUGACACCUAAUACAUGAUCCUUAAAGGAAAAAAUGGAUAAAUUGGACUUCAUCAAAAUUGAAAAUGUUGGGCUUCCCUGGUGGCGCAGUGGUUGAGAGUCCGCCUGCCGAUGCAGAGGACGCUGGUUUGUGCCCUGGUCCGGGAAGAUCCCACAUGCCGCGGAGCGGCUGGGCUCCUGAGCCAUGGCCGCUGAGCCUGCGCGUCCGGAGCCUGUGCUCCGCAACGGGAGAGGCCACAACAGUGAGAGGCCUGCGUACCGCAAAAAAAAAAAAAAAAAAAAAAUUGAAAA